UACAGAGGUCUCAAGCGUUGUUCGGAUUCAUUGGGCGUAAAGGGUGUGUAGGUGGCGCGCUAAGUCGGGUGUGAAAUUUCGGAGCUUAACUCCGAAACUGCAUUCGAUACUGGCGUGCUUGAGGACUGGAGAGGAGACUGGAAUUCAUGGUGUAGCAGUGAAAUGCGUAGAGAUCGGGAGGAACACCCGUGGCGAAGGCGGCCAUCUGGACCAGCACUGACGCUGAGGCACGAAAGCGUGGGGAGCAAACAGG
rnacentral:rRNA from 1 species